GUUGCAAGAGAGAACUUCUCCUCAAGGGAGAGGUCGCCGAAGGGGCAAGGCGCAAGCCAAAACUCUCAGGCAGCAGGAUUGCGACUG
rnacentral:ncRNA from 1 species